GUGGCGGUGGCCCAAAGCAGAGGGAAGGAGGGAGGCAGGGAGCCCAGAGCCGGAGCCGGAGUCGCAGUGGUGGAGGCCCCUGUGCGGCUCGGAGGGGGCGGUGGCCCCAUCUCUGACCCGCGCCAGGGGGUGGGCCAUGGCGGAGAUCAGCGACCUGGACAGGCAGAUUGAGCAGCUGUGGCGCUGCGAGCUCAUUAAGGAGAGUGAAAUCAAGGCCCUGUGUGCUAAGGCCAGAGAGAUCUUGGUAGAGGAGAGCAACGUGCAGAGGGUGGACUCGCCAGUCAUAGUAUGUGGUGACAUCCACAGACAAUUCUAUGACCUCAAGGAGCUGUUCAGAACCGUGGCUUCUACAGCGUUGAAACGUUCCUUCUGCUGUUGGCACUUAAGGUUCGCUAUCCUGACCGCAUCAUCCUGAUCCGGGGUAACCAUGAGAGCCGCCAGAUCACCCAGGUCUACGGCUUCUAUGAUGAGUGCCUGUGCAAAUAUGGCUCAGUGACUGUGUGGCGCUAUUGCACUGAGAUCUUUGACUACCUCAGCCUGUCAGCCAUCAUUGAUGGCAAGAUCUUCUGUGUACAUGGGGGCCUUUCCCCCUCCAUUCAGACCUUGGACCAGAUCCGGACUAUUGACCGAAAGCAAGAGGUGCCUCAUGACGGGCCCAUGUGCGACCUUCUCUGGUCCGACCCUGAAGACACAACAGGCUGGGGUGUGAGCCCCCGUUGGGCUGGAUAUCUAUUUGGCAGUGAUGUGGUGGCCCAGUUCAAUGUAGCCAACGACAUUGACAUGAUCUGUCGGGCCCAUCAACUGCUAAUGGAAGGUUACAAGUGGCACUUCAAAGAGACCGUGCUCACUGUGUGGUCGGCACUCAACUACUGCUACCGUUGUGGAAAUGUGGCAGCCAUCUUGGAGCUGGAUGAGCAUCUCCAGAAAGAUUUCAUCAUCUCGGAGGCUGCUCCCCAAGAAACAUGGGGCAUCCCCUCCAAGAAACCCGUGGCUGACUACUUCCUGUGAUCCCCUCUAUCCCUACCCCCUCCAGCCCUUCUGUCCCUCGGACCACUGUGACUCUGCCCUCUUCCUCAGACGGAGGCUGGGUGAGGGGCUGUCCCUGGCUCUGCUCUGCCCCCCAGAGGGCACUUCAAGGGUGAGGACUUACUCUGGAGAGGCUUGGGGCCUUAGCUCCAUCCUCCUCUCCUUUCUCCCCACUUGAACCAUGAAGUUUCCAAUAAUUUGUUUUUCUUUUUUUCCUUCUGUUUUUUUCUUUUUUUUUUUUUUUGGUCUGUUUUUAGAUAAAAAUUUUGAGAAAAAAUGAAAAAAAAUUCUAAUAAAAGAAGAAAA